UACGAAGGGGGCUAGCGUUGCUCGGAAUCACUGGGCGUAAAGGGUGCGUAGGCGGGUCUUUAAGUCAGGGGUGAAAUCCUGGAGCUCAACUCCAGAACUGCCUUUGAUACUGAAGAUCUUGAGUUCGGGAGAGGUGAGUGGAACUGCGAGUGUAGAGGUGAAAUUCGUAGAUAUUCGGAAGAACACCAGUGGCGAAGGCGGCACUCAGGUCCGGUACUGACGCUGAGGUGCGAAAGCGUGGGGAGCAAACAGG
rnacentral:rRNA from 1 species